AUUGAACGCUGGCGGCAUGCCUUACACAUGCAAGUCGAACGGCAGCACGGGUGCUUGCACCUGGUGGCGAGUGGCGAACGGGUGAGUAAUACAUCGGAACGUACCUUAUCGUGGGGGAUAACGCAGCGAAAGCUGUGCUAAUACCGCAUACGCCCUGAGGGGGAAAGCGGGGGAUCGCAAGACCUCGCGCGAUUAGAGCGGCCGAUGCCUGAUUAGCUUGUUGGUGGGGUAAAAGCCCACCAAGGCGACGAUCAGUAGCUGGUCUGAGAGGACGAUAAGCCAAACUGGGACUGGGACACGGCCCAGACGCCUACGGGAGGCAGCAGUGGGGAAUUUUGGACAAUGGGGGCAACCCUGAUCCAGCAAUGCCGCGUGAGUGAAGAAGGCCUUCGGGUUGUAAAGCUCUUUUGUCAGGGAAGAAACACCGGCUCUAACACAGUCCGGGAAUGACGGUACCUGAAGAAUAAGCACCGGCUAACUAUGUGCCAGCCGCCGCCGUAA
rnacentral:rRNA from 1 species